UACGAAGGGAGCUAGCGUUGUUCGGAAUCACUGGGCGUAAAGCGCACGUAGGCGGAUUUGUCAGUCAGGGGUGAAAUCCCGGGGCUCAACCUCGGAACUGCCUUUGAUACAGCAAGUCUUGAGUUCGAGAGAGGUGGGUGGAAUUCCUAGUGUAGAGGUGAAAUUUGUAGAUAUUAGGAAGAACACCGGUGGCGAAGGCGGCCCACUGGCUAGAUACUGACGCUGAGGUGCGAAAGCGUGGGGAGCAAACAGG
rnacentral:rRNA from 1 species